rnacentral:rRNA from 1 species
CCAAAGGUUCCCUCAGCCUGGUUGGCAAUCAGGUGUUGAGUGUAAGUGCACAAGGGAGCUUGACUGUGAGACCGACGGGUCGAGCAGGGACGAAAGUCGGGACUAGUGAUCCGGCAGUGGCUUGUGGAAGCGCUGUCGCUCAACGGAUAAAAGGUACCCCGGGGAUAACAGGCUGAUCUUCCCCAAGAGUCCAUAUCGACGGGAUGGUUUGGCACCUCGAUGUCGGCUCGUCGCAUCCUGGGGCUGGAGUCGGUCCCAAGGGUUGGGCUGUUCGCCCAUUAAAGCGGUACGCGAGCUGGGUUUAGAACGUCGUGAGACAGUUCGGUCCCUAUCCGCUGUGCGCGUAGGAAUAUUGAGAAGGGCUGUCCCUAGUACGAGAGGACCGGGACGGACGAACCUCUGGUGUGCCAGUUGUCCUGCCAAGGGCAUGGCUGGUUGGCUACGUUCGGAAAGGAUAACCGCUGAAAGCAUCUAAGCGGGAAGCCUGCUUCGAGAUGAGUAUUCCCACCAACUUGAUUGGUUAAGGCUCCCAGUAGACGACUGGGUUGAUAGGCCAGAUGUGGAAGCCCUGUAAGGGGUGGAGCUGACUGGUACUAAUAGGCCGAGGGCUUGUCCUCAGUUG